AGGAGCAGCUGCACAAACCCUUGGUUGCCAUAGUAAAGACUUUCCCUAUUCCGUGGUUUCAUUCAAACACACAGCAAAGAUCCAGGAACCCCAACCACCUAUGGAGUUCCUUGGAUAAUCUGGACUUUACACCUCAUCUGUACACCUCUUCCUGACUGCAAGGUGCCAUACAGGGGCACAAUGAAACCCUGCAGUUCACACAGAAAGAGGGAAUUUAUAGAUCAUCACAGACAGACUGACCACUGGAGUAUUCCACUGCAUCAGGUCUUUCUUCCAGUGUUAUAAUUCGAAAGGGAAAUGGGCAGAAGAUGAAAGUGUGCACAGGACUGCCUACUUAAACUGGCUUGGCUUCUCCUGCUGAAGAUGGCAAAAAGACAGAUUUGGUACUGUACAAGCUGCCACAGAACAUUUUUGCUUCUAGCCUAUGCACUUUCAAAGGGAAGAAGAUAUGCAGAGAAUCGUGGUCAUCUCAGAGGAAAAGCAAGCAGACUAGGUUGCCUGGCCUGAAAGUCAGCUUUCCAGAACAAUCAUUAAAAACCAUCUCUACUUCUAAUCACACAGGGAAAGCUUCUUUCUUAAAAGAGCAACAAAUUUUUCUAUAGUUGUCACUUAUACACAACUUGUGCAAACUGGAA